AUAACCCGUUGAAAGACGGACUAAUACCCAAUGAUAUUCAUUGAUGACAUCUGAUUUGAUUAAAGGAUUUAUCGGUAUAGGAUGGGGGAUGCGUCUGAUUAGCUUAGUUGGUGAGGUAACGGCUCACCCAAGGCCCACGAUCAGUAGGGGUUCUGAGAGGAAGGUCCCCCACAUUGGAACUGAGACACGGUCCAAACUCCUACGGGAGGCAGCAGUGAGGAAUAUUGGUCAAUGGACGAGAGUCUGAACCAGCCAAGUAGCGUGCAGGAUGACGGCCCUAUGGGUUGUAAACUGCUUUUGUUUGGGAAUAAUCGACAUUACGUGUAAUGUUUUGCAUGUACCAUUCGAAUAAGGACCGGCUAAUUCCGUGCCAGCAGCCGCGGUAAU
rnacentral:rRNA from 1 species